GCCGAAGUGGCGAAACUGGCAGACGCGCUACGUUCAGGGCGUAGUCCCCGCAAGGGGGUAUGGGUUCGACUCCCUUCUUCGGCA
rnacentral:tRNA from 1 species